AGCGAACGCUGGCGGCAGGCCUAACACAUGCAAGUCGAACGAACUCUUCGGAGUUAGUGGCGGACGGGUGAGUAACACGUGGGAACGUGCCUUUUGGUUCGGAAUAACUCAGGGAAACUUGUGCUAAUACCGAAUGUGCCCUUCGGGGGAAAGAUUUAUCGCCAUUAGAGCGGCCCGCGUCUGAUUAGCUAGUUGGUGAGGUAACGGCUCACCAAGGCGACGAUCAGUAGCUGGUCUGAGAGGAUGACCAGCCACACUGGGACUGAGACACGGCCCAGACUCCGACGGGAGGCAGCAGUGGGGAAUCUUGCGCAAGGGGCGAAAGCCUGACGCAGCCAUGCCGCGUGAAUGAUGAAGGUCUUAGGAUUGUAAAAUUCUUUCUCCGGGGACGAUAAUGACGGUACCCGGAGAAGAAGCCCCGGCUAACUUCGUG
rnacentral:rRNA from 1 species